UCCCUGGUGGUCUAGGGGUCAAAACGCCAUGCUUCCGACACAGGGGGUACAGGUUCGAUCCCUGGUCAGGGAA
rnacentral:tRNA from 1 species